AAAAAGUAACGGAGGCGCUCUAAGGUCGGCUCAACACGGACGGUAACCGUGUGCUGAGUGCAAGGGCACAAGCCGGCUUAACUGCGAGAGCAACAAUUCAAGCAGAGACGAAAGUCGGACCUAGUGAUCCGGUGGUACUGCGUGGAAAGGCCAUCGCUCAACGGAUAAAAGGUACUCUGGGGAUAACAGGCUGAUCGGGCCCAAGAGUUCACAUCGACGGCCCGGUUUGGCACCUCGAUGUCGGCUCAUCGCAUCCUGGGGCUGAAUAAGGUCCCAAGGGUUGGUCUGUUCGCCCAUUAAAGCGGUACGUGAGCUGGGUUCAGAACGUCGUGAGACAGUUCGGACUCUAUCCAUCGUGGGCGCAGGAGACUUGAGGGAAGUCGUCCACAGUACGAGAGGACCUGGAUGAACAUACCUCUGAUCCACGAGUUGUUCUGCCAAGAGCACAGCUCGGUAGUCACGUAUGGAAGGGAUAACCGCUGAAAGCAUCUAAGUGGGAAGCCCCUCCCAAGAUAAGGUCUCCCGUGUAUAUUUCCGUAAGGAAGUAAUACCCAUAAGACUCAUUGUAGACUACAAUGUUGAUAGGUCACAGGUGUAAGUGCAGUAAUGUAUUGAGCCAAGUGAUACUAAUCAGUCGUGAGGCUUAUUUGA
rnacentral:rRNA from 1 species